GAUGAACGCUGGCGGCGUGCCUAAUACAUGCAAGUCGAGCGAACAGACGAGGAGCUUGCUCCUUUGAUGUUAGCGGCGGACGGGUGAGUAACACGUAGGUAACCUACCUAUAAGACUGGGAUAACUUCGGGAAACCGGAGCUAAUACCGGAUAAUAUUUCGAACCGCAUGGUUCGAUAGUGAAAGAUGGCUUUGCUAUCACUUAUAGAUGGACCUGCGCCGUAUUAGCUAGUUGGUAAGGUAACGGCUUACCAAGGCAACGAUACGUAGCCGACCUGAGAGGGUGAUCGGCCACACUGGAACUGAGACACGGUCAAGACUCCUAAGGGAGGCAGCAGUAGGGAAUCGUCCGCAAUGGGCGAAAGCCUGACGGAGCAACGCCGCGUGAGUGAUGAAGGUCUUCGGAUCGUAAAACUCUGUUAUUAGGGAAGAACAAACGUGUAAGUAACUGUGCACGGCUUGACGGUACCUAAUCAGAAAGCCACGGCUAACUACGUG
rnacentral:rRNA from 1 species